rnacentral:rRNA from 1 species
AUUGAACGCUGGCGGCAUGCUUUACACAUGCAAGUCGAACGGCAGCACAGGGAGCUUGCUCCCGGGUGGCGAGUGGCGCACGGGUGAGUAAUACAUCGGAACGUGUCCUGUUGUGGGGGAUAACUGCUCGAAAGGGUGGCUAAUACCGCAUGAGACCUGAGGGUGAAAGCGGGGGAUCGCAAGACCUCGCGCAAUUGGAGCGGCCGAUGCCCGAUUAGCUAGUUGGUGAGGUAAAGGCUCACCAAGGCGACGAUCGGUAGCUGGUCUGAGAGGACGACCAGCCACACUGGGACUGAGACACGGCCCAGACUCCUACGGGA